UCCCACAUAUGAAAGUCCGUGGAGGGCUGUCCCAGGCGUAAUAAGCUCCUAACGAGCUGUCCCAAGCAUGAGUCGCUGGACGGCCAAACAUUGAAUGAAAUGUUGGCAUGGGGUUUCGGCAAGUAUCUGAACCCUCCAUUGGUCCAUAAGACUUCUAGAGAGAGAAAAUUUUAAAGAAACAAGAUAGAGAGAGAAAGUUGAGAAAAUCUCUGUAUUUUUCAGAUGAGACAAUCAUGAUCGAGAUUAUCAGAGAUCAUAUCAAGAUGAUUCAAUAUAGAUUAACUAUGAUCGAUGUCAUAAAUUUCGAAUA
rnacentral:lncRNA from 1 species